UUUAAACACCGCUUCUCAUCUGAUCACUGAAGUUAAGCAACGUCGAGUCUGGUUAGUACCCAGGUGGGUGGCCGCUUGAGAAUACCAGUUGUUGUAAG